UACGAAGGGGGCUAGCGUUGCUCGGAAUCACUGGGCGUAAAGGGUGCGUAGGCGGGUCUUUAAGUCAGGGGUGAAAUCCUGGAGCUCAACUCCAGAACUGCCUUUGAUACUGAGGAUCUUGAGUUCGGGAGAGGUGAGUGGAACUGCGAGUGUAGAGGUGAAAUUCGUAGAUAUUCGCAAGAACACCAGUGGCGAAGGCGGCUCACUGGCCCGAUACUGACGCUCAUGCACGAAAGCGUGGGGAGCAAACAGG
rnacentral:rRNA from 1 species